CCACCACCAAGACCACCUCACACAGUACCCCCAUCUACACCUCUUCAAUCUUCACCACUGAGUCCACCUCACGCAGUACUCCCAGCUUCACCUCUUCAAUCACCAUAUCCAAGACCACCUCACACACUACUCCCAGCUUUACCUCUUCAACAACCACCACCGAGACCACCUCAAACAACAGUACUACCAGGUACACCUCUUUAAUUCCCACUACCAAUAUGACCUUACGCACUACUCACAUCUACACCUCUUCAAUUCUCACUUCUGAGACCUCAGACAGUACUUCCAGCUUCACCUCUUCAAUCACCACCACUGAGACCACGUCACACCCUAUUCCCAGCUUUACCUCUUCAACAAUCACCAGCAAGACCACCUCACACAGUACCCCCAGCUUUACCUCUUCAAUCCUCACCACCAACACCACCUCACAUGGUACUUCCAGCUUCACAUCUUCAAUUGCCACCAAUGAGAUGACCUCACACAGUACUUUUACCUUCAACUCUUCAAUCCCCAUCACUGAGAUCACCUCCCACAGUACUCCCAGCUUCACCUCUUCAAUUCUCACCACCAAGACCACCUCACUUAGUACACCCAGGUUCACCUCUUCAAUUCCCAUCACCGAGAUCACCUCACUCAGUACUCCCAGCUUCACUUCUUUAAUCCCGACCACUGAGACAACUUCACACACUACUUUCAGCUUCACCUCUCCCAUUUCCACCACCGAGACCACCUCACACAGUACUCCCAGCUUCACCCCUUCAAUACCCACCAUCAAGACCACCUUACACAGUACUCCCAGCUUCACUUCUUCAAUCCCCACCACCGAGACCACCUCACAUUGUACUCCCAGCUUCACCUCUUUCAUCCCCACCAUGGAGACCACCUCACACAGUACAUCCAGCUUCACCUCUUCAAUUCCCACCAUCAAGACCACCUCACACAGUACUCCCAGCUUCACUUCUUCAAUCCCCACCACUGAGACCACCUUACACAGUACUCCCAGCUUCACCUCUUUCAUCCCCACCACCGAGACCACCUCACACAGCACUCCCAGCUUCACUUCUUUCAUCCCAACCACCGAGACCACCUCACACAGUACUUCCAGCUUCACCUCUUCAAUUCCUACCAUCAAGACCACCUCACACAGUACUCCCAGCUUCACUUCUUCAAUCCCCACCACUGAGACCACCUUAUACAGUACUCCCAGCUUCACCUCUUCCAUCCCCACCAUGGAGACCACCUCACACAGUACUCCCAGCUUCACCUCUUCAAUUCCCACCAUCAAAACCACCUCACACAGCACUCCCAGUUUCACUUCUUCAAUCACCACCACUGAAAUCACACCUCACAGUACUCCCAGCUUCACUUCUUCUUCUACCACCACAAAAACCCCUUUACACAGUACUCCCAGUUUCACUUCUUCAAUGACAACCACAGAGAGCACCUCCAAUAGUAAUCCUAGCUUCACUUCUUCAAUCGUCACCGACAACACCACCUCACACAAUACUCCCAGCUUCUCUUCUUCAACCACAACCACAGAGACCACCUCACACAGUACUGUAAGCUUCACCUCUUCAACCACAGCCACCAAGACCACCUCACACAGUACUGUAAGCUUCACCUCUUCAACCACAGCCACCAAGACCACCUCACACAGCAUACCCAGCUUCACUUCUUCAACCACCACUACCAAGACCACCUCACAGAGUACUCCCAGCUUCACAUCUUCAGUUACCACCACCGAGACCACUUUACACAGUACUCCCAGCUUUACUUCUUCAACCAAAAUCACUGAGACCACAUCACACAGUACUUCCAGCUUCACCUCUUUAAUCACCAACACUGAAACUACCUCACACAGUACUGCCAGCUUCACUUCUUCAUCCACCACUGCAAAGACUACCUCAAACUAUACUUCCAAUUUCACUUCUUCAAUCACUACCACUGAGACCACAUCACACACUACUCCCAGCUUCACUUCUUCAAUCAUCAUCACCAACACUCCCUCACACAAUACUCCCAGUUUUUCUUCUUCAACCACCACCACCCAGACCACCUCAGACAGUACUCCAAGCUUCACUUCUAUAGCCACCACCAACACCAACACAACCUCACAUAGAACUCCCAAUUUCACUUCUUCAAUUGUCACAACCAAGACCACCUCACACAGUACACCCAGUUUCACUUCUUCAAACACCACGACCACCAACACCACCUCAUACAGUACUCCCAGCUUCACUUCUUCAAUCACCACCAAGACCAUGUCACACAGUAUUCACAACUUCACUUCUUCAACCACCACCACCACCAAGGCCACCUCAGACAGUACUACCAGGUUCACUACUUCAAUCACCGCCACCAAUACCACCUCACACAGUACUCCUGGCUUCUCUUUAUCAACCACAACCACAGAGACCACCUCACACAGUACAUCCAGCUUAUCCUCUUCAACCACCACUACCAAAACCACCUCAUACAGUACUGCCAGCUUCAGUUCUUCAUUCACCACCAAUGAGGCCAUCUCACAUAGUACUCCUAACUUCCCCUCUUCAAUCACCACAACUGAGACCACCUCCCACAGUACUCCCAGGUUUACUUCUUCAAUCACCACAACCAAUAACACAUCACAGAGUACUCCCAGAUACACUUCUUCAAUCAUUACCACUGAAACUACCACACAUCGUAUUCCCAGCUUCAUCUCUUCAACCACAACUACCAAGACAACCUCAUAUAGUACACCUAGCUUCACUUCUUCAACCACCACUAUUGAGACUACCUCACACAGUACUCCCAGUGUCACCACUUCAAUAAUCACCACUGAGACCACCUCACACAGUACACCCAGCUUCCCUUCUUUAACCAGAACCACAGAGACCACCUCACACAGUACUUCAAGCUUCACUUCCUCAACGACCACUGAGAUCACCUCACACAGUACUCCCAACAUCACCUCUUUAAUCACAACUACCAUGACCACCUCACAUGGUACACCCUCCUUGACUUUUUCAACCAUGACCACUGAAACCACCUCACAGAGUACUCCCAGUUUCACACCUUCAAUAGCCACCACUGAGACUACCUCACACAGUAUUCUCAGUUUGACUUCUUUAACCAGCACAACCAAGACCACCCCACACAGUAUUCCCAGCUUUAUGUCUUCAACCACCACUGCUGAGAUCACAUCACACAGUACUCCCAGCUUCACCUCUUCUAUAACCAACACCAAAACUACCUCACUCAGUACUCCCAACUUCACUUCUUCAUCCACCACCACAAAGACCAGCACACACAGUACUUCCAACUUCACUUCUUCAAUCACCACCACCGAGACCACGACACACAGUACUCCCAGCUUCACUUCAUUAAUCACCACUACAAACAACACCUCACACAUUACUCCUUGGUUCAGUUCUCCAACCACCACCACCACGACCAAGAACUCCUCACUCAGUACUCUCAGCUUCACUUCUUUAACUACCACCACCAAGCCCACCUCACAUAGUACUCCCAGCUUCACUUCUUCAAUUGCCACCACUAAGACUACCUCACAUAGUACUCCCAGCUUCACUUCUUCAACCGCCACCACCAAGACUACCUCACACAGUACUCCCAGCUUCACCUCUUUAACCACCACCACUACCAAGGAAACCUUGCACAGUACCCCCAGCUUUCUUUCUUCAACCACGACCACCACCAAGACCAUCUCAGACAGUACUCCAAGCUUCAUUUCUUUAACAACUACCAUAAAGACUACCUCACACAGUACUCCCAGCUUCACUUCUUCAAUCACUACCAAGACCACCUUGCACAGUACUCACAGCUUCACUUCUUCAACCGCUAGCACCAAGACCACAUCAGACAGUACUCCCAGGUUCACUACUUCAGUCACCGCAACCAAUACCACCUCACACAGUACUCCCAGCUUCUCUUCAUCAACCACAAACACAGAGACCACCUCACACAAUACUCCCAGCUUAACCUCUUCAACCACAACCACUGACACCACCUCACACAGUACACCCAGUUUCACUUCUUCAACCACCACUACCAAAACCACCUCAGACAGUACUGCCAGCUUCAGUUCUUCAACCACCACCAAUGAGGCCACCUCACAUAGUACAUUCAGCUUCACUUCUUCAAUUGCCACUACCAAGACCACCUCACACAGUACUCCCAGCUUCACCUCUUUAACCAACAGCACGAAGACCACCUUACACAUUACUUCCAGCUUCACUUCUUCAAGCACCACAAUGAAGACCACCUCAGACAGUACUCCAAGCUUCACUUCCUCAAGCAGCACCACCAGGACCACCUCACACAGUACUCUCAGCUUUCCUUCUUUAACCACAACCGCAGAGACCAGGACACAAAGUACUUCAAGCUUCACUUCUUCAACCACCACCACUGAGACCACCUCACAUAGUACUCCCAAGUUCACCUCUUCAACCACAACCACCAAGACCACCUCACACAGUACUCCCAGCUUCACUUUUUCAACUAACACAUCUGAGACCACCUCACAGAAUACUCCCAGUGUCACACCUUCAAUAACCUCCAGUGAGACCACCUCACACAGUACUCUGAGCUUCACUUCUUCAACCACCACUCCCGACACCACCUCACAUAGUACUCCCAGCUUCACUUCUGCAAUCGCCACCACUAAGACCACCUCACAUAGUAGUCCCAGCUUCACUUCUUCAACUGACACCACCAAGACCACCUCACACAGUACUCCCAGCUUCACUUCUGCAAUCACCACCAAGACCACCCCACACAGUACUCACAGCUUCUCUUCAUCACCCACAACCACAGAGACCAUCUCACACAGUACUCCCAGCUUAACCUCUUCAACCACAACCACCGAGACCACCUCCCACAGUACUCACAGCUUCACUUCUUCAACCGCUAGCACCAAGACCACAUCAGACAGUACUCCCAGGUUCACUACUUCAGUCACCGCCACCAACACCACCUCACACAGUACUCCCAGCUUCUCUUCAUCAACCACAACCACAGAGACCACCUCACACAGUACUCCCAGUUUAACCUCUUCAUCCACAACCACCGAGACCACCUCCCACAGUACUCACAGCUUCACUUCUUCAAACACUAGCACCAAGACCACAUCAGACAGUACUCCCAGGUUCACUACUUCAACCAUCCCCAAUGAGACCACCUCGCAUAGUGUUCCCAGCUUCACUUCUUCAGCCACCACCACCACAACCUCAAAGAGUACUCCCGGCUUCACCUCUUUAACCACCAUCAUCAAGACCACCUUACACAGUACUUCCAGCUUCACUUCCUCAACUACCACCAUGAAGACCACCUCAGACAGUACUCCCAGCUUCACGCCUUCAACUGCGACCACCAAGACCACCUCACACAGUACACCCAGCUACACAUGUUCAACCACCACCAGUGAGACUACCUCACACAAUACUCCCAGCUUCACCUUUUCAAUCAGCACCUCUGAGACCACCUCCCACAGUACUCCCAGUUUUACUUCUUCCACCACCACCACCGAGACCACAUCAGAGAAUAUUCCCAGCUUCACCUCUUCAAUCAACACCACUGAAACCACCUCACAUAGUACUUCCAACUUUAUCUCUUCAACCACGACUACCAAGGCGACCUCACAUAGUACACCCAGCUUCACUUCUUCAACCACCACUCCCGAAAGUACCUCACACAGUAUUCCCGGCAUCACCUCUUCAAUCACCACCCCCCACACCAGCUCAAACAGUACUCCUAGCUUCUCUUCUUUAGCCACAAACACAGAGACCACCUCACACAAUACUGCCAGCUUCACUUCUUCAACCACCACCACCAAGACCACCUCACACAGUAAUCCCAGCUUCACUUCUUCAGUCACAACCAAGACCACCUCACAUAGUAUUCACAACUUCACUUCUUCAACCACCACCACCACCAAGACCACCUUACACAGUACAUCCAGCUUCACUUCUUCAACCACCACUCCCGACACCACCUCACAGUGUACUGCCAGCUUCAGUUCUUCAACCACCAUCAAUGAGAGCAUCUCACAUAGUACUCCCAGCUUUACCUCUUCAACCACAACCACCAAGACCACCUCACACAGUACACCCAGCUUCACUUCUUCAACUGCUACUAUCGAGAUCAACUCACACAGUACUCUCCGUUUCACUUCUUCAACUCUCCACUCCAAAGUCAGCACAUCCAGAAGUGCCAUCACCUCAUCUCCCACUGCGUUUGAGACUGGGGUGACUUCCACAGCUGUAAGCGCACCUAGUCAGAGAUCAGAUUACCUGAUCAGAAGGCUAAUACCUUUCACCCCCUCAUCUGUGGACACCAGCACUUCAUUGACUACACAGUACUCCCAGCUCCCCUCUACACCCACUGAUGUCACUACCCCACCAUCCCCAACACAAAUUAUUUGGUCUUCUCCCUCCAUCCAUAAUAAAGAAACCUCAUCCCUUGUGGGCACAAUCUCUCCCAUCAUUUCCACUGUGAGAACCACCCUCAGAAUUACUGAAAACACCCCGAUCAGUUUCCUUAGUACAAGUUUUCUGGUUACACCUGAAACCCCAACGCGUACCCCUCCUGUACUGACCUCUGCCACCGGGACACAAACGUCUUCUGUACAUACUACUCUCACGUUUGGAAGCACAGAUUCCUCCACGUCCACUCUCGAGACUGUUACUCCAUCAACAACCUUGAGCACGAUCAUGUCAACAUCAGAGGUGCCUGUUACUAGCACACAUUCAUCCACCCUGAAAACAACUCCUGCAACCCUCUCAGUGCAAACUUCACUCACGUCUCCGAGUGAGUCUACUACGGAAUCUUUCACUAGGGGAAGUACAUCUACGAAUGCAAUCUUGACUCCUUUUAGUACCAUCAUCUGGUCCUCAACACCCACUACCAUAAUGUCCUCUUCUCCGUCUUCCGCCAGCAUAACUCCAGCGUUCUCCACUACCACUCACUCUGCCCCUUCUUCACCACACAUUUUCAGCACAGAAAAUGUGAGUUCCUCUUCUAUCACAGCCUUUCCUACUCUCUCUUCCUCUGCAACUACCAGCACAUCUCCAACCAGCUCCUCUCUGACCACAACUCUCACCAAAAUAACCCCCUUUUCUUAUAUUUCUCUUCCCUCCACCACACCCUGUCCAGAAACUGUAACAAUUACAAUAGUCCCUGCCUCUCCCACUGAUCCGUGUGUUGAAAUGGAUCCCAGCACUCAAGCUACUUCCACCACCACCCCAUUUACCGUCUUUCCCUUUACCACCGAAAUGGUCACCAGUCCCAGCUCCAUCAGUCUGCGAACUGCCCUUCCUACAUAUAUGGACACGUCUUCCGUGACUCCAGGAAGUUUGCCCAGCAUCACAACCAAUGCUUCCAGUUCCACUGGCACUGGGACUGUACCCACGAACACAGUUUUCACAAGUACUCAAAUGCCGACCAGUGAGACCUGGCUGAGCACCAGCUCCACGAUCCCCCCACCUCUUCCUGGAGUCUCUACCAUCCCACUCACCACGAAACCAAGCAGUAGCCUUCCGACUGUCCUGAGGACUUCAAGCGAGUCAACACACUCCUCCCCACGCACCACCAGGACUUCAGAGACACCAGUGGCCACUACCCAGACUCCUACCACCCUUACGUCGCGCAGGACAACUCCCGUCACUUCCCAGAUGCCCACACAGUCGAGGUUGACCACCACUGCAGGCACCUGUGACAAUGGUGGCACCUGGGAACAGGGCCAGUGUGUUUGCCGUCCGGAGUUCUCUGGGGACCGCUGUCAGCUCCAGAUCCCAUGCCAGAAUGGGGGUCGUUGGGAUGGCCUCAAGUGCCAGUGUCCCAGCACCUUCUAUGGUUCCCGUUGUGAGUUUGCUGUGGAACAGGUGGAUGUAGGUGAGUCGCCAGAGCUAUGCCUUCUGCACUUCCCCAGACUUAUCCCUAUGUGCGACCUGGAGGCACCCAUGCCAUUUUGCCCCGUCCUUCCUUCCCUGCCAUCUCUCCCAUGCCCUCUGCUGCUCUGUGUCAUGCUCCUCUCUCCUCACCCUUAAGAGGUGGCUGGGAACCACAUUCCCUCCUAAGCCCAUUUCUUGACUUGGGUUGCUUGGAUAUAUAUCCGUUUGCAACUGCGGCUGUACCAACACACACAAACCUGGCUGCUGAAACAACACGACAUUAUCAUGUUAUAAUUCUGUAGAUCAGAAGUCUGACGUGGGUGUCACUCGGCUGAAAUCCAGGCAUCACCAGGGCUGUGUUCUCUUCCAGAGGCUCCAGGGAAGCAUCCAUUUCCUUGCCUUUUGCAGCUUCUGGAGCCUCCCAUGUUGCAUGUGCCAGGGUCCCUGGCUCCAUCUUCCAAGCCAGCAAGGCUGCAUCCCUCUGGGUCUUUCUCCCAUAGCCUCAUCUCACUCUGAUGGACUCUGGGCUCCGCUAUUGCUUCUUCCACUGUUAAGGACUCUGUGAGGACUUUGGUUCCUCCCCAAAUAGUUCAUGUUAAUUUUUAUAAGAUCAGCUGAUUAGGCCAGGUAUGGUGGCUCACGCCUGUAAUCCCAGCACUUUGGGAGGCUGAGGUGGGCAGAUUACCUGAGGUCAGGAGUUCGAGACUAGCCUGAUCAACACGGUGAAGCUCUGUCUCUUCUAUAAAUAUAAAAAUUAGUCAUACAUGGUGGUAGGUGCCUGUAAUCCUCACUAAUCAGGAGGCUGAGGCAGGAGAAUCACUUGAACCCAGGAGGCGGGGGUUGCAGUGAGUUGAGAUUUCACUGCUUCACUCCAGCCUGGACCACUGAGUGAGAGUGAGACUCUGUCUCAAAAGAAAAAAAAAUCAGCUAAUUGUGUUGUAAUCCCUGUACUUUGGAAGGACUAGGAGGGAGGAUCUUUUGAGGCCAGGACAUCAAGACCUCAUGCAACACUGUGAGACCCCAUCUCUACAAAAAAAUAAUAAUAAUAAUAAUAAAAAAUUAGCUGGGCAUGAUGGCAUGUGCCUGUGGUUCCAGCUACUUGGGAUGCUGAGGUGGAAGGAUCGCUUGAGCCUAGAAGUUCAAGACUGCAGUGAGCUAUGAUCCCACUGUUGUACUCUAGCCUGGAUGACAGAAUGAGACCCUAUCUCAACAAUAAAAAAGAGUUAGGCUGAUUAGCAAUCGAAUUCCAUCUGCACCCUUGAUCCUCCCUUGCCAUGUAGUAUAGCAUACUCACAGUUCUGGGGAUUAGGACACAGACACCCACCCACCGUGGGGGUAGCUGGGAGGGACCAUAGGCUCGCUGCUGUGUUCCUGCCUGCUUCCCCUCAUCUCCUCACAAUCCUUCUUUCCUUCCUUCUUUCCUUCCUUCCUUCCUCUUUUCCUUCCCUCCUUCCUUCCUCUUUCUUUUCCUUCCUUCCUUCCUUCCUUCCUUCCUUCUUUCCUUCCUUCCUUCCUUCCCUUCCUUCUCUCUUUCUCUCUUCCUUUCUUCCUUUCCUUUUUUUCUGACAGAGUCUUGCUCUGUCACCCAGGCUUGAGUGUAGUGGUGCGAUCUUGGCUCACUGCAACCUCCACCUUCCAGUUUCAAGCGAUUCUCCUGCCUCGGCCUCCCAAGGCACAAUGAAUCCUUGAAUUCCUACCUCUGUUCCUGCCUCUGUGCAUCAGUCCUCAGGGAUCUUGGAGAGGAGCAGCAGGAGGAGCCUGUGGGUUGGGAGGAGGUGGUGGUGGUGGUGGUGGCGUCAGACAAAACCAGACAGAGAAGUGACUAGGGACAUGCAUGCUGUGUGCAGACUCAGUGGAGACCGAGGUGGCCAUGGAAGUGUCUGUCGACCAGGAGUUCUCCUCUGACCUCAACGACAACGCUUCCCAGGCCUACAGGGAUUUCAACAACACCUUCUGGAAUCAGGUAAGGGGCAAGGGGAGGGGAAUUUAAGGUACUCCCCUGGGUGUGAGGUUGGUGCCCUCAGGCCCGCAGGUUCAAGACGUGAGCCCUGGGGUCCUUGGUGUUCCAGAUGCAGAAGAUUUAUGCAGAUGUGCAGGGCUUCACCUUCAAGGGUGUGGAGAUCCUGUCCCUGAGGUAGGAGACCCAUCUGGGGAUGUGGAGGCGGUGUGGGGUGGGGGAAAUGUGUGCACAGAAAGAACCCAUUCCUUGCUUUUGUAAUCAUCAGAUUUUAUAAAGAGAGGGGUCGGGGGGGCGGUGGAGGGGAUACACAAGGAAUCACUCCUUGGGGUAUUUUUUGAGAUCGUUUUCUGGGGCUAUUUCUCUGGAGGAGGGGUGGCGCCUCUCUUCUUCAGCACGCUGGAAGGAGAGAAGUUACAGGGACAUGUGGGAAGGAGGUGUCUGGAUUGGUGACUUCAUCUCCCUCUGCCUUGCCCCUGCUCUACUGGGUGGGUCAGCAUUAGAGAGGGAAAGAAAGAAAGAGAGAGGAAGAGAGAGAGGAAGAGAGAGAGUGCACCCAGGGGUGCCUGGUGGAUGAUGGCGUGAUACAACACAAAGGGAAUGUCAGGCUGGAUGCCGGGGCUUACACUUGUAAUCCUAGCACUUUGGGAGGGCUAGGUGGGUGGAUCGCCUAAGACCAGUUCAAGACCAGCCUAGACAACAUAGUGAGAAUCCAUCUCUACAAUAAUAAUAGUAUUAAUAAAAUGAUUAGCCAGGCUUGGUAGUGCACACCUGUAAUUUCAGAUACUUGGGAGGCUGAGGUGGGAGGAUCACUUGAGCCAGGGAGUUAGAGGCUGCAGUGAACCAUAAUUAUAACACUGCACUCCAGCCUGGAUGACAAGGGAAGACCUUGUCUCCAAAAAACAGAGAGAGAGAGGAAGUCUAUCAUGUCAAUCAUUCCUUGUCCUGCCUUCCCAGGCUGACCAAGUCAGGGAUGCUGGCAGCCUCUUCUGAAAAGGAUGCCAUGACCUCUGCCCCCUUUCCCCUUCUGGUGCACAUCGGUUGGUUCUGGAGGUACCCUUCCAAGGACCCACGUGCCCAUGGGGCAUUCUCUAAGACUGCGGACCCCUCAGGAAUGGCAGCAUCAUGGUGGACUACCUGGUUCUGCUGGAGAUGCCCUUCAGCCCCCAACUGGAGACUGAGUACGAAAAAGUGAAGACGGCAUUGAAGGAGGGGCUGCAGAACGCCAGCCAGAAUGUAGACAGCUGCCAGGACUCCCAGAGUGAGCCCGGGCUGGAGGGAGGGGCCCGGGCCAGAGCCGCUACCCCAGCCCACUCCAGCUCAGCCAGGGGGUCUCUGGACUCAGGUGCCAGCCCUGUGGUACCUCUGGCAGGCUGGGAGAAGGGGCACGAGUCCACACACAACAGCGUCAAGGGUGGGGCUAGGGAGGGUCUCCCUAGGACCUGGGUGCUCGGCAAGAGAACCCCUGAGCGUCAGGCUCAGCGUUUCCUGGAUGAGAUGAGGGAGGGAACAGGAGUCUUCCCUUGUGUCCCCUCCGCACUCCUCCAGACAGAGAGAGCCCUCACUGCCCUCCAUGUGCCUGUCCUGCUUUCUGGCCCUAACCCCUUGAUCUUAACCCCUUGACCUGCCCUCCCAUUCCAUCUGUGCCUGUGUUUCCGCAGCCCUGUGCUUUAAGCCUGACUCCAUCAAGGUGAACAACGACAGCAGGACAGAGCUGACUCCGAAAGGUAAGGGUGGGGUAAAGGGCUGAGUGGUCUUCCGUGGCCAUGACUCCUGCCACCAGGGGCAUUUGCCCAUUGAAGCUGGGGGGCAGGGAGAGGCCUUCGACGGAGGCAAGUGAUGUGACCCAGGACAGCCCUUCCUGCGCUGCUUAGUGGCUUCCACUUGAGGAAAGCAGGGGCCACGAGGAGAGGGUGAGGGUGCUGGGGCUGGCCUCCCCUCAUUUAAUCCCAGGGUCUACCCCACGGCACCCCACCAGGAAAUGGAGUCCUGGUCGCGCAUUUUCAGAGGCACCAUAAUCAGGCCCCGGGAUAGAAUGGAUGAGGUCCUUGUCUCUCUGCAACCCCCUCCCCAACCCCCUAGCCAUCUGCAGCCGCGCCGCUCCCGAAGGCUAUGAGGAGUUCUACUUUCCCUUGGUGGAGGCGACCCGGCUCCGCUGCGUCACCAAAUGUACGUCGGGCGUGGACGACGCCAUCGACUGUCACCAGGGCCAGUGCAUUCUGGAGAGGAGCGGUCCUGCUUGUCGGUGAGGCCCCACCCACCAUCAGCUUCGCCUGAGCCCCGCCCACUCAUUCCAAGAUGACAGCCCCG
rnacentral:lncRNA from 1 species